rnacentral:tRNA from 1 species
AUGCACUUAGCUCAGUGGUCAGAGCGGCCGCCUGGUGAGUUGGAUGACCAGGUUAGGUUGUGGGUAUGAGCCCCACCGUGCACA